CAAAUAGAUAAUGGGUCCAGAAAUAUGUCACAAUUCCCCCUGUUGGCAGAAUCUAGGCAGGAGACUCACAUCACCUGGGUUUUAGACCUAGGAAUAUGUCACAAGAUGCAAUGUGGGCAAUGCCAAGACAAAAGAAUAAAAAACAUACACCCUAGGUGCUAGGGGCAGGAAUAUAUGUCACAAUUCCAUGUGACAUUCAUGGACCUACACCUAGGGUAUUUGCCUGUAUUGUGACAUUCUCACUCAGGUACUUGGCAGAAGUGUAUGUGAUAAUCAGAGCUGCAGGUAGGUUCAAGGAUAAGAUUAAAGAUCCUACACGUGUCCCUGUUCUGGCUAUGAGAGCAAACACCUCUUGUAUGUUGGGUCUAAGUACAAAAUUCACAAUAUUAACAGUGGACUGAAUUUGUGCAUGAGAACUUCAAUCCCUUCUGUGGACUGUGUCUUAUUCAUGGAAUCAUAGUCUGAGAUUCACCAACCCACCUGUGAAUUACAUCCAUGUAUGAGAGUCAAUUAUCCAACUUUUAACUUCCUCCUAAUGUGAGAUUCAGAACCUAAGCAGUAAACUGAAUUCAUGGGCAAGAAUGAAAAUCUUUACUAUGAGUUUUGUGUGCAUAAGAGUGUCACAAUCUCACCUGGGCCAGAGAUAUGUUACAAUCCCCUCCUGAAAGCAGGACACGGGCAGCAAAGUCACCUCACCUGGAUGCCAAGCCCAGCAGUAAAUUACAAUGUUCUCUGUUAGCAAGGAACAUGAAGGAGAGACACAUCACCUGGCUUCCGGGCCCACUGAUACAUCACAGUCUCCCCUGAGGGAAGAACAUAAAAAGAAGAGGAGUCACAUCAGCUAGGUGCUGGGUUAGUCACAGGUCACAAUCCCCCCUGUGAGCAGGAACCAGGCAGGAGAAGUGAGUUCCAACAAUGUGCCCUGUGGGCAGCACCAAGGCAGGAUAAUAGAGUCACAUCACCUAGGUGCUGGGUCCAAAAAUAAGUCACAAUCCUGUAUGUGGGCUGGUCCCAGACUGUAGGUCAAAUCACUCAGGUGCUGGCCAGAGGCAUAUAUCACAUUUACACCUGUAGGAAGGUCAUAAAAUGAUAUUUACAAUCCAGCACAUGUCCUGUUUCUAAGUAUGUGAGUUAACACCUCAUAUAUGUUGGGUCUAAGUACAUGAGUUCAUCUCAGCAAUAAACUGGAUCUGUGCAUGAGAGGCACAAUCUUUCCUGUGUGCUGUUUUAUCUGGGUGAAGUUACAGCCUCACAGGUGUGCUGAAUAUUGGUCUUAGAAUCACCUACCUACCUGUGAACCAGAUUCACAUAUAAGAGUCAAUUUUCCAACAUUCGACUGCUUUUGGUUGUGAAAUCCAGAGCCUUAACAAUGGGCUGUGUUCAUGUGGGAAGAUGACAAUCUUUUCUGUCGACUUGGUAAGUGUCACAAUCUCACCUAUGUAUCACCCUAGGGCUUUAUACCUGAUGCAUGAGAUUCUCAAUCUGCUCUGAGACAUUUGUGCUGGUAUGAAUCAUGAUUGUACCUGUGGCCUUAAGCCCAAGUAUGAGAGUCAACAUCUCUCCAAUUAGCUGAGUCCAGAAUGAAGAAUAUUCACCUUCCUAUGAGCUGACCUUAAAAUGAGUCAUCAUCCCAACUGUGCUUACAUGUUUAUGUAUGACAGUCACGAUCUCAACUCUAGACUGUGUCCACCUAUAAGAUUCAGGACCUCAAUAAUGGGCUUUGUUCAAGUGAGAAAAUGAUGAGAAACAAAACCUCACCUGUGUCUUGGACUCUGUGUUGACACUCUCUGUAUCACCCAAGGACUUUCUAUGAAAUGCGAGACAGUGGUUAAUUCUCUAUGACCUUCAUACAAAAAUGAGACCUAGAUUUGACCCAUUUUCCUAAGCCCAGCUAAGAGAGAUAGUAUCUUUCAUAUUGGCUGGCUCAAGUUAUGAGAGUCAUUGUGACACCCGUAAACUGAACUAAGAUAUAUAUGACAGUCCCACAAUUGGGUACGGAGGGAGUGAGCAGGAGAAUCACACCAUCUGGGUGCUGUGCCAGAGAUAUUUGCAACCGUCUCUGAGGGCAGUGACCAGGCAGGAGAGUCAUAUCACGUUGUUGCUGGGCUAGGGUUAUGUCAUAAUUUUUCCUGAGAGUAGGGACCAGCAAGAGAGUCACAGUACCUGUGUUUUCAGCCAGGGAUAUGGUAUAAUCCCCUCCUGAAAGCAGGACUAAGGCAGCAGAGUGUCUUCACCUGGUUGCUGGGCCUAACGAUAUGUCACAAUGUCUUCUGUGGCUAGACCCAAUCAGCAAAGGCACAUUACCUACUGCUGGCUCCAGUGAUGUGUCACAGUACUUUUUUUUUUUUUUUUUUGGCAUGGCCUAGGCAGAAGACAAAAUUUGAAAUACCUAGUGAUGAACAAAAGACACACCAUAAUAACCUUGUGGGCAGGACCCAUGCAGGAGAGUCACGUCACCUAGGUGUUGGACCCAGCCGUAUUUCACAAUACACAAUAUACGUGGGGGCCAGGCAGGAAAAGAGAGUUACAUCACCUGCUGAGCAGGCUCAGUGAUGUGUCACCAUCUCCCCUGUGCACAGGGUUCAGGCCAAAGAGGAGAGUCACAUUUCCUAAGUGAUAGAUGUAGAGAUAUGUCACAGGCCUCCUGUGGGCAAGGCCCAGGCAGGAGCCUUUUAUUUUCUAGAUGUUUAGUGCAAAAAUACGUCACAAUACCCUAAAUAUCCAGGGCCCAGACAAAAGAGGAGUGUCAUGUUACCUAGAAUCUGUGUCCAGUAAUAUGUCACAAUCCCUACUUUUGGCAAGACCGGCAGAAGAGGAGAGACACAUCACGUAGGAAAUAGACAUAAAAAAUAUAUCGUAAUGCCUCUGUGAGCAGGACUUAUGCGAGAAAGUAGCAUCACCUAGGUGUGAUAACAUGCAACAUGUCACAACACACAAUAUGUGCAGGGCCCAGGCAGGAGAGGAGAGUCACAUCACCUGGAUGCAGCACACAUCAACACAUACAAAUUCCUUAUUGGUCAGAGUCCAAGAUGUUGAGAAAGUCACAUCACCUAAAUGCUUGGUCCAGCAAUAUGUCAGAAUACCCUCUGAGUGAAGGCCCCAGGCAAGAGAGUGAGUCACAUCACCUAGGUAAGAGACCCACAGAUAAGUCACAAUAUUUUCUAUGACCCAGGUCCUGGCAAAAGAAACACAUCAUCUGGUUUCUGGAUCCAGUGAUAUGUCAAAAUUCUUUCUGUGGUCAGGGUGUAGGCAGAGGUGAAGAGUCACAUUUUCCAGGUGAUAUGUCACAAUGCCUACUGUGGGGACGGUCCAAGCAAGAAACUCAACUCACCUUGGUAAUAGUCCAAGUAAUUUGUAAUAGUGCCUUUUGAAGGCAGAGCUAAGGCAAAAAAGUGACAUCACCUUGGUGUUGAGUCCAGCGAUAUGUCACAAUGCUCCCUGUAGACAUCACCAAGGCAGAACAUGAGACUCACAUCACCUGGGGGGCAAGGCCUACCAGUAUGUCACAAUGCCCCUGUGGACAUUGUCAAGGAAAGAGUAGAGUCACAUCACCUAGCUACUGGGUUCAGUGAUAUGUCAUAAUCCCUUCUGCGGGCUGGGCCCACAUAAGGAGAGUCAAAUCACUUGGGUGCUGGGAAGAGGCACAUGUCACACCUGCAAGAAGGUCCAAGGAUGAGAUUAAAAAUUCCGCAAAGGUCCAAAUUCUAGAAUCACAGUCUCACAGGUGUGCUAGAUUUUGAUCUGAGAGACAGCAGUCAACUUGUGGUCCAGAUCCACUCAUGAGAGUCAAUUUUCCAACUUUUGACUGUCUCCAGGGCCCAGACAGAAGAGAAGAGUCACAUCAUCUAGAUGAUGAAUGAAAAGAUACGUCAUUAUUCUCCUUUGGGCAGUGCUUCUGCAGAAAAGUUGCACCUUCUAGGUGUUGGACUCAGCAAUAUAUCACAAUGUCUGCAGUAUUUUGGAAGGAGAGGAGAGUCACCAUUACUUAGGUGCUAGGCCCAGCAAUACAUCUCAAUCACUUCUUGGGCAAAGCCCAAGCAGUAAAAAAGAGUCACAUUACCUAGGUUCUGGGUAUAGCAAUAUGUCACAAAUGCCCCUAAGAAGAGGGCCCAGGAAAAGAGAGUCACCUUGGUGAGAAUGUCAGAGAUAUUCCAUUUUUGGGUAUUCACAAAAAAGAAUAAAGUCCCAUAACCUAGAAGGUGGGCUCUGCUCCAUGACACAAAUCACCCUAGUGGGCAGGUCCAUUAAAGAGAAGGCUGUCAAAGCACAUAGAUGCUGGGCAAAGUGAUAUGUCAUAAUCCCCAUGAUGAUAGGCCCAGAGACAUGUCACAAUGACCUCUUUAGGCAGAGACCAGGCAGAAGAAUCACAUCACUUGUGUGCUGGCCCUAGUGAUAAGUCACUCUCAUUUCUGUGGACAUGGCCCAGGCAGAAGAGCAGAGUCACAUUACCUAAGCGCUGGGUCAAGAGAUAUGUCACAAUCUUUUACAUGGGCAAAACCCAGGUAAAAAAGAGGAGUAAUAUCAGAUAGUAGGUGUUGCCAGAGAUAUGUCAAAAUGCCCCCUGUAUGAAAGACUCAGGCAGUCAAAACACAUUAGUUGGUUUCUUAACCUAGUGAUAUGUUAUAAUCUUUCCUGUGGGCAUGAUGCAGGCAGAAGACGAGAGUCAUGUGAUGGAUGCAGAGACAUGUCACAAGGUCUUCUGUGGGCAGGGUCCAGACUGAAGCCUUCCACCUGCUAGGGGUUGAGCCCAAUGAUAUGUCACAAUACCCAAAUUAUGCAGGGCCCAGGCAAAAAAAACGAGAGGCACAUCACCUGGGUUCUGGAUCCAACGAUAUAUCACAAUUUUCUAUUUUGGCAAGACCCAGGCAGAAAGAAAAGUUACAUCACCUAGGUGAUGAAUGAAAAUACAUAUUAUAAUAGUUUUGUGGGCAGGACCCAUGCGGGAGAGUCACAUCACUUAGGUGUUGGACCCAGAAAUAUGUCACAAUAUACAGUGUAUACAGAGCUGAGGCAUGAGACAAUAGUAACUUCACUCAUUUGUUGAGCCCAGCUAUACAAUCCUUUUUUGGGCACAGCCGAAGUAGUAGAGGAGAGUUACAUCACCUUGGUGCUGGGUCCAGCAAUGUGUCACCAUACCUGCUGAGGGGAGGGUACAGGCAAGAGAGCCACAUCACUUAGGUGAGGGACCCAGAGAUAUCUCACAGUACCCCCUGUGGGUAGAACUCAGGAAAAAGGAGAGAGUCACAUAAUCUAGAAGCUGGGCUCAGCUGUAUGUUACAAUCACCCAGUGGACAGGUCCCAGGCAUGAGAGUAGAGUCACAUCACAUAGGUGCUGGACCAAGCAAUUUGUCACAACCUUCACUGUGGACAGGUCCCCAGAAAAAGAGAAUCACAUCAUUUAGGUAACAAAACCUGAGUUAGUCACUGUUACUUGUUUGGGCAGAGGUCAGGAAGAAGUGUCACACAACAUGUAUGCUGGACUAAGCAAUACAUCACUCUCUCUGUUUUAGGCAUGGCCCAGGCAGGAGAGAAGGGUCAUAUCACCUAAGCUCUGGAUUCGCAGAUAGGCCCCAAUCUCUUUUUUGGGCAAUGCUCGGGUAAGAGAGCAGAGUCACAUCAAGUGGUUGAUGGGCCCAGAGAUAUAUCACAUUGCCCCUUGUGGACAGGGACCAGGCAGGGGACUCACAUCACGAUAGAGGUAGGACAAGGAAUACAUCACAAUACAUUUUGAGAGCAGAACCAAAAAAGAGUAACAUAAUCUUUGUGUUGAGUGCAGCAAUAUGUUACACUUUUCUUUGUGGGCAGAAUGUGUAAAGAAGGAAAAAGUUGGCCGGACACGGUGGCCUGUAAUCCCAACACUUUGGGAGGUCAAGGUGGGCAGAUCACCUGAGGUCAGGAGUUCAAGACCAGCCUGGCCAACAUGGCAAAACGCUGUCUCUACUAAAAAUACAAAAAUGGGCUGGGUGUGGUGGCAGGCACCUGUAAUUCUAGCUACUCAGGAGGCUGAGGCAGGAGAGUCACCUGAACCUUUGAGGCAGAGGCUGCAGUAAGCAAAGAUCACGCCACUGCACUCCAGUGUGGGUGACACAGCAAGACUCCGUCUCAAAAGAAAAAAAAAUAAAGAAAGGAAAAGUCACAUAAGCUAGGCACUGGGCCCAGUGAUAUGUCAUAGUCACCCAUUUGAGAAGGGAACAGCGAAGAGAAGAGAGUCACAUCACCUCUCUGGUGGACACAGAGAUAUCUCACAAUGCUCUCUGUAGGCAGGGCCAGGGCACAAGAGUAAUAUAACUUGGGUGUUAGACCAAGCAACAUGUCACAAUGGCUGAUAUGGGCCAGACACAGACAAGGGAGUCACAUAUUUGGGUGUAGGGCUCAGUUAUAUGUUGAAAUGCCCCCUGUGGGCAGCGACAAAGCAGGAGAGAAGAUUCACAUCACCUGGAUAUAAGGCCCAGUGAUACGUUACAAUUCCCCUGUGAGCAGCGCUAAAGCAGAAGAAUAGGGUAAUAUCACCUAGGGGCUGAGUCCAGUGAUAUGUCACAAUUCCAUCUGGGCUGGGCCCAGGCAGAUGUGUCAAAUCAUGAAGGUUCUGUGAAGGUGCAUAUAUCACAAUCACACCUGCAGGAAGGUCCAAUAAUGAGAUUAACAAUCUCACACAGGUCCGGGUUCUAGGUAUGAGAGUCAACACCUGUGUGUUGGAUCCAAAUAGAUGAGUCGUAGUCUCAACAAUUGACUUGAUCCAUGUGUGAGAUCCUAGUUUCUAUUUGCAUUACUAUUGGUACCAGUACCUAUUAAUUCUUCCACCUUCUACAUCUUUGUUCUGUAUGAAUGUAUAUACAAAGAUUGAUACAUAUACAAGAUUAUAUGAGUAUUUCUAUGUAAAUAUGUACACAAAAAUUGUUCCUCCAAAGACAUUUUUCAGUCUCUUAGCAUAUUCUAAGGGUGCAGAUGUAGAAUUAUUUCUCUUCUCUGGCUCAGUAGCAUGUCAGAAUGGAACAUAGGUAUAGAAUGUUUUUUGUAUAGACAAAGCUUCACUUUCAGGGGCAAGGUUUGGGAAAUAAGCUGAUAGUAAAGUCAUGUAACACUUUCUGUGCAGGUUAGCAUUUCUGGACCUUGCUUUCCUUCUCAGUGUAUGCAUGAGCUAUUCUCAUGCACCACUGGGGGCCAGUCUUGAUUAAUCUACAGUUGAAAUUUAGAGAACUGGCUGAUUGAAUCCACCUGGGCUGAGCUAACUGACAUUGAAAUCAGCUGGGCUGAGCUUAUUGGCCAGUUAAAAUCAUCUGGGCUCAAAUAUCGGCUGACUGGAGUCACCUGGGCUAAACUAAUUGGCUGAUUUUAAUCUCCUGGGAUUGGUUAAUUGACUGUAAUGACCUGAUUUGAGUUAAUUGACUGAUUGAAAUCAAAAGUGCUGACCUAAUUGGCUGAUUGAAAUCACCUAGAAUGAGGUAACUGACUGAUUGGAUUUACCUGAUCUGAGCUAAUUGGCUGAUCAGAAUUACCUAGACCAAAUUAAUUGGCUAAUUGGAAUACACUGGGCUGAGCUAAUUGGCUGAUUGAAAUAAUCAGGGCUGAGUAAGUGGGCUGCUUGUAUUCACCUCCCCUGAGAAGAAUAAGUAGGGAAAUGAUCUCUGACUUACCUUUUUUUUUUUACAAGACAUACUCAUAAAUGGACAUUACAUAGAUAUAUUUAUAUAUUUGUAUGUGUUUGUAUGUGUUUAUCUACAUAUAUUAUAUCUGUUAACCUUCAAGUUAAAGUGUGCAAAGGAAUCUGAAAUUUGCUUUCAAUAUUGCAGUCUAUCUUCAAUUUACAGACCUUGGCUUUUCUACCCCAAUUCAAGAAGUCACUUCUUCAGUCAACCAAACCAAUUACAAAAUUGUGUUCCAAUGUCACAUGUUCAAAAAUAAACAGUUCCUGAAAAGAUGUAAGCUUUAAA